GCAAACUUGGUCAUUUAGAGGAAGUAAAAGUCGUAACAAGGUUUCCGUAGGUGAACCUGCGGAAGGAUCAUUACAAGAAGCGGUGCCUUCGGGCCCGAUCUUCCAACCACUGCGUACGAAAUUAGUUGCCUCGGCGGCCUCGCGUCGCCGACGGAAACAUCAUGACAACUUUGUUUGAAUACUGUCUAUACCUCGCGAAUGCGAAAAGUACAACUUUCAACAAUGGAUCUCUUGGCUCCGGCAUCGAUGAAGAACGCAGC
rnacentral:misc_RNA from 1 species